AUUUUUGAUAAUACAUUUUUUUAAAAAAGCACGCCCGAUCUCGUCUGAUCUCGGAAGCUAAGCAGCGUCGGGCCUGGUUAGUAAUUGAAUGGGAGCGCCUGGGAAUACCAGGUGCCGUAAGCU
ensembl:rRNA 5S_rRNA 5S ribosomal RNA